rnacentral:sRNA from 1 species
GCUAGGCACAUGGGCACAUGCCUGUAAUCCCAACUACUCAGGAGGCUGAGGCAGGAGGAUUGCAAGUUCAAGGCUAGUCUGGGCAACUUAGUGAGGCCCUGUCUCAA